UCCUACGGGACGCAGCAGUGAGGAAUAUUGGUCAAUGGGCGCGAGCCUGAACCAGCCAAGUCGCGUGAGGGAAGACGGUCCUAUGGAUUGUAAACCUCUUUUGUCGGGGAGCAAAAGACGCCACGCGUGGCGUUCCGAGAGUACCCGAAGAAAAAGCAUCGGCUAACUCCGUGCCAGCAGCCGCGGUAAUACGGAGGAUGCGAGCGUUAUCCGGAUUUAUUGGGUUUAAAGGGUGCGUAGGCGGACUGGAAAGUCAGCGGUAAAAUCGAGAGGCUCAACCUCUUUCCGCCGUUGAAACUGUCGGU
rnacentral:rRNA from 1 species